GAUGAACGCUGGCGGCGUGCCUAAUACAUGCGAGUCGAGCGAACAGACGAGGAGCUUGCUCCUCUGACGUUAGCGGCGGACGGGUGAGUAACACGUGGAUAACCUACCUAUAUUACUGGGAUAACUUCGGGAAACCGGAGCUAAUACCGGAUAAUAUAUUGAACCGCAUGGUUCAAUAGUGAAAGACGGUUUUGCUGUCACGUAUAGAUGGAUCCGCGCCGUAUUAGCUAGUUGGUAAGGUAACGGCUUACCAAGGCAACGAUGCGUAGCCGACCUGAGAGGGUGAUCGGCCACACUGGAACUGAGACACGGUCCAGACUCCUACGGGAGGCAGCAGUAGGGAAUCUUCCGCAAUGGGCGAAAGCUUGACGGAGCAACGCCGCGUGAGUGAUGAAGGUCUUCGGAUCGUAAAACUCUGUUAUUAGGGAAGAACAAAUGUGUAAGUAACUAUGCACGUCUUGACGGUACCUAAUCAGAAAGCAACGGCUAACUACGUG
rnacentral:rRNA from 1 species